AAUCAUAUCCCUUUGAAACACUGGUUCUCAUAUGAUCUCUGAAGUUAAGCAACAUUGAGCCUGGUCAGUACAUAGAUGGGUGACCACUUACGAAUACCAGGUGCU